AUGCUUCAUAUGAGAAUAUGCUCGACUUUGUUGGUGCCUACGACGCGUCGCCUAUGGGCGUCGUUCUCCUCGCUGGAGGGUCGUUGUGGAGCUCUCCCCCCCCCCCUUCUCCACCCCGAGUCACGUCCUUCGUGUGAAAGCUCAAGACUCCUUGUGAGUCGGGCGACAGCAUCACUUCAACGUCACUACCCCCUUGGGGGUGUCGCCUUGAAGGUCAUGGUCUCCUAUGCACCUCCCCAAGGGCUGGACGAGCACAACAUCGCGGUCGGCAGGUUCCCGACCGGCAGUGUGAGGUUGGCGUGGCGUUGUGACGUGUGUGGCAACAACUAUGGUGGCGAGCAGAGCCGAGUCGCAGCAUGUCCUUCUGAUGCCGAUGGUCCGGUGUGUCAAUGGGUGCGUCUAUGCUGA
rnacentral:rRNA from 1 species